rnacentral:rRNA from 1 species
AUUGAACGCUGGCGGCAGGCCUAAAACAUGCAAGUCGAGCGAGCGGCGGACGGGUGAGUAAUGUCUGGGAAACUGCCUGAUGGAGGGGGAUAACUACUGGAAACGGUAGCUAAUACAGCAUACCAUCAGAUGUGCCCAGAUGGGAUUAGCUAGUAGGUGGGGUAACGGCUCACCUAGGCGACGAUCCCUAGCUGGUCUGGUAGGAUGACCAGCCACACGGGAACUGAGACACGGUCCAGAAUCCUACGGGAGGCAGCAGUGGGGAAUAUUGCACAAGGGGCGCAAGCCUGAUGCAGCCAUGCCGCGUGUGUGAAGAAGGCCUUCGGGUUGUAAAGCACUUUCAGCGGGGAGGCGUUACCCGCAGAAGAAGCACCGGCUAACUCCGUGCCAGCAGCCGCGGUAAUAC